UGGGGAAUAUUGCACAAUGGAGGGAACUCUGAUGCAGCGACGCCGCGUGAGUGAUGAAGGAAUUCGUUUCGUAAAACUCUGUUCUAUGGGAAGAAAAGGACUGUACCAUAGGAGAAAGCUCCGGCUAAAUACGUGCCAGCAGCCGCGGUAAUACGUAUGGAGCGAGCGUUGUCCGGAAUUAUUGGGCGUAAAGGGUGCGCAGGCGGCUUUACAAGUUGGAUGUGAAAUAUUGUGGCUCAACCACAAACGUGCAUCCAAAACUGCAAAGCUUGAGUUAAGGUGAGGUAAGUGGAAUUCCUGGUGUAGCGGUGGAAUGCGUAGAUAACAGGAGGAAUACCGGUGGCGAAGGCGACUUUCUGGACUUAAUCUGUCGCUCAGGCACGAAAGCGUGGAGAGCAAACAGG
rnacentral:rRNA from 1 species